GUGCUCGCUUCGGCAGCACGUAUACUAAAAUUGGGGAACGAUACAGAGAAGAGUAGCGUGGCCCCUGCGCAAGGAUGACACACAAACUUGUGAAGCGUUCCAUAUUUUA